rnacentral:rRNA from 1 species
CAACCUGCCCUUGUGCUUGGGAUAACUCCGAGAAAUCGGGGCUAAUACCGAAUGACAUUAUUUAAUCGCAUGGUUAGAUAAUUAAAGGUGUCGCAAGUUAUCGCACAGGGAUGGGCCUGCGUUCCAUUAGCUAGUUGGUAAGGUAAUGGCUUACCAAGGCUACGAUGGAUAGCUGAUCUGAGAGGGUGAUCAGCCACACUGGGACUGAGAUACGGCCCAG